rnacentral:lncRNA from 1 species
GUACUAUUACUCAAAAACUGAUUCUCUUGAAUCAGCAGAUUCGAGUGUUUAUAGCGCCGUCAAGAAGCUGUGUUUUGUGUGUUGAUCGUCUCCACCAUGCACGCGGUAUUCAAGACCAGCAACGUCUUGAUCAAGAAGAAGAAAAGAACGGAGAAGCAAAGAACGACGAUGUAACUACUAAAUAGCGGGUUUUCCACACUGGUACGCUGUAUGACGUCGAGCAAUGCCAAUAAUGGAAGUGCUCUUUGAAGAACUGAGCGUCUAGAUCUUCUUCAGUCAGAUGAAGCUAACGGAUUCGGAAAUCGUCGAAGAAGCAGAGGACAUCACAGCUGAAAACAAACGUGAGUCAAACUCCUGUGGUUAAGUUUUGCAGCUACUCUCAAAAUAUUUUGUCUUGUUUGCUCGUGUUGAUUGAGACUGCUUUUAAAUUAUCUAUCAGGGAAGCCCUAAUAAGAGGUCCAAGAGAAAUUUAUUCGGGUCAACUGAUACCAUGCCACGUACUAAAUCGUUAAUGGUUUUCAGGUAAAAAAUAACCAUGGGAAUAUGGGGUCGCAUAAAUAGAUGUCACUGGUGGAAAAUAAGAAGGUGAUAUGGUAUUUUUCUUUUCUACUGUCUGAUUUUUAAAGAUUUGGUGAGGAACAUCCAAUCUGUCGAUCGCGGUCGCUAACCAAUUGUUAGAAAAACAGCACCAAUAAUGGUCGAACUCGGAUGUGCUUUAUUCGAGAUUUUAACACAAAUUGCAUUUUAUACAUAAAAAAAUUUAUCAGGAAGCUACAAUGUUACAGCAUUACCCGUACUAUGGCUCGUCCCGGUUUGUAUUGCUUUGUAUAAUCUUUAGUUGAACGCUAAGUAUAUUAUUAGAGGCUAGCUAAGAGAAUUUGGCUAGAUCUUUACAAGAUUAGUGAAUGUGAUUUUUUAAAGAAAUUGUGCCUGUUGCACAUCGAUAUUAUUGGCCUUGAUUCUUAAAGG